GAUCUCCUGCGUCGUGCAGGUAUGUUGCAGUGCAAGUCUGCUACGACUCCCAUGUCUGCUACAGACAAACUGACAGCUCUUGCUAGUGACUUGCUUGCUCCUGAGGAUGCCACAGAGUACCGCAGCAUUGUGGGUGGACUGCAGUACUUGCUCAUUACUCGACCAGACAUAUCAUUUGCAGUUAACCGUGUGUGCCAGUAUCUUCAUGCACCACGUGAUUCUCACUGGUCAGCUGUUAAGCGCAUCUUGCGCUAUGUUCGUCACACUGGUUCAUAUGGUCUCCAUCUUCAGCCUGCGCGUUCUGGACUGAUCUCAGCAUUCUCUGAUGCCGACUGGGCUGGUUGU
rnacentral:rRNA from 1 species